UCCGGUGUGGUGUAUCGGUAACAUAGGUGCCUUUCAGUCCUUACUUGGAAGAAGAGCGCACUUGCGCGGGGUUCGACUCCCCGCACCGGAA